AUUGAACGCUGGCGGCGUGCUUAACACAUGCAAGUCGAGCGGCAGCGCGGGGGCAACCCUGGCGGCGAGCGGCGGACGGGUGAGCAAUACAUAGGAAUCUGCCUCAGAGCGGGGGAUAGCCAGGGGAAACCCUGAUUAAUACCGCAUGACGUCGAGAGACCAAAGUGGGGGAUCGUAAGACCUCACACUCUGAGAUGAGCCAAUGUCGGAUUAGCUAGUUGGCGGGGUAACGGCCCACCAAGGCGACGAUCCGUAGCUGGUCUGAGAGGACGAUCAGCCACACCGGAACUGAGACACGGUCCGGACUCCUACGGGAGGCAGCAAUAGGGAAUAUUGGACAAUGGGCGAAAGCCUGAUCCAGCGACGCCGCGUGGGUGAAGAAGGCCUUCGGGUUGUAAAGCCCUUUAAGCCGGGACGAAAAAGCUACACCUAACACGUGUGGCCUUGACGGUACCGGAAGAAUAAGCACCGGCUAACUCUGUGCCAGCAGCCGCGGUAA
rnacentral:rRNA from 1 species